CGGGACACGUGGUAUCCUGUCUGAAUAUGGGGGGACCAUCCUCCAAGGCUAAAUACUCCUGACUGACCGAUAGUGAACCAGUACCGUGAGGGAAAGGCGAAAAGAACCCCGGCGAGGGGAGUGAAAAAGAACCUGAAACCGUGUACGUACAAGCAGUGGGAGCCUCUUAAUGGGGUGACUGCGUACCUUUUGUAUAAUGGGUCAGCGACUUAUAUUCUGUAGCAAGGUUAACCGAAUAGGGGAGCCGAAGGGAAACCGAGUCUUAACUGGGCGUUAAGUUGCAGGGUAUAGACCCGAAACCCGGUGAUCUAGCCAUGGGCAGGUUGAAGGUUGGGUAACACUAACUGGAGGACCGAACCGACUAAUGUUGAAAAAUUAGCGGAUGACUUGUGGCUGGGGGUGAAAGGCCAAUCAAACCGGGAGAUAGCUGGUUCUCCCCGAAAGCUAUUUAGGUAGCGCCUCGUGAAUUCAUCUCCGGGGGUAGAGCACUGUUUCGGCAAGGGGGUCAUCCCGACUUACCAACCCGAUGCAAACUGCGAAUACCGGAGAAUGUUAUCACGGGAGACACACGGCGGGUGCUAACGUCCGUCGUGAAGAGGGAAACAACCCAGACCGCCAGCUAAGGUCCCAAAGUCAUGGUUAAGUGGGAAACGAUGUGGGAAGGCCCAGACAGCCAGGAUGUUGGCUUAGAAGCAGCCAUCAUUUAAAGAAAGCGUAAUAGCUCACUGGUCGAGUCGGCCUGCGCGGAAGAUGUAACGGGGCUAAACCAUGCACCGAAGCUGCGGCAGCGACGCUUAUGCGUUGUUGGGUAGGGGAGC
rnacentral:rRNA from 1 species